rnacentral:lncRNA from 1 species
UCUAGUGAGGUCGGUUGGUGCACAAACCUACAGAGUUGCUGGUGUUGGAACAAUCAAAAUUAAGGUACAUGAUGGAUCGAUGAGGAGUUUAGAGAAUGUACUCCAUGUUCCUAAGUUCGAUAGGAAUCUGAUAUCUUUGGGAACUUUAGAUUCGAAAGGCCACAAGAUUGUUGGUCAAGAUGGAAAUAUGAAAGUUUUGAAGGGGGCACUCGUAGUGAUGAAGGGUAAGAAGGUAAAUGGUCUCUAUCGUUUAGAAGGGAGCUUUGUUCGAGGUGGAACAGUUGGUUCCAUUAAGAGUUUUGAUCAAGGUGGAAAGAUUGGCAAUCUUGGUUCCUAUUGGCAUUCAAGGGAGAUAAGCAAUAGUAAAUGCGAAGGAACGAAAUCAGCUUCUAAGAAGGUGAAAUUUGAGGAGUAACCAACAUUGCAGCAGUUCUUAAAGGGAGGCAGACCCGUAAGGAUCCCGACACAAGUUUGUGGUGGAGAUAUACUAGCUCAUGCAUAUUCCACAACUGAGGUGUCACCUACUUCAGUGAGUAGUGAGAAAGUUGAGAAGCAAACUUGGUGUUUUUAAGAGUGAUGCGUCUAGAGAAGAUAUCGUUCAUGGUGGAGAAUAUGUUUAGAGGAAUGUUGCUCGCGGUGAGUUAUGCAAACCAUUGAAGAUUGCUCCCAUUAGGUUUGGCAACUUUAGUGGAAACUUGGAUUGCAUGCAAACCUCUUAGGGCCGCCAAGGGGCCGGGUUCACUCGCCAAAGGCCGCCAAGGGGACGUCUUGACCCGCCAAGGGGCUGCCUUUACAUGCCUAGGGCUUUUUAAACCUACCUAGGACCUGCCAUGACCCGCCUAGGGAUUCCAUUGGGUUGCUUUAACCCGCCUUAACCCGCGUUAGACCGCCUUAAACCACCUUGGACCGCCUUGACCCACCUUGGACCGUCUUAGGCCGCCUUGACCCUCUUAGGGUCGCUAAGGGGACGUCUUGACCCGCCAAAGGGCUGCCUUUACACGCCUAGGGCUGUUUUAACCUACUUAGGGCCUGCCAUGACCCGCCUAGGGCCGCCAUGGGGCUGCCUACGUCUUUCAAGGGGCCACCUUGACCUUGCUAGGCCCACGUAGGGCAGCCAAGGGGGCGCCAAGACCCACCUAGGGCUGUCAAGAGGCCACCUUGACCCGUCUAGGGACAAGCCUUGACCUGGCUUGGCCCACCUUGACCCGCCUUGGGCCCACCUUUACCCUCCUAGACCCACCUAGGGCCACCAAAAAGCCGCCAUGACUCGCUAAGGGGGGCCGCCUUGACACACCAAGGGCCUCCAAGAGGACGUCUUGACCUGCCAAGGGGUUGCCAUUACACGCCAAGGUCUGUUUUGACUUCUCUAGGGCCGCCUUGACCCACCUAGGGCAACCAAGAAGCGGCCAUGACUCGCCGAGGGGUCGCCAUGACCCUCCUAGGCCCGUCUAGGGCAGCCAAGGUGCCGCCUUGACCCUCCUCGGCUCUUCUAGGCCCACCUAGGGAAGCCAAGGAGGCUCCUUGACCUGCCUUGGAUCGCCUUGGGCCGCCUUGACCCGCCUUAACCCGCCUUUGACCGCCUUGACUUGCCUUGGGCCGCCUAGACCAGCGCUUGACCCGCCUUGACUUGCCUUGACCCUCCUAGACCAGCCUAGGGCCACCAAGAAGCCGCCAUGACUUGCCAUGACCUGUCAAGGGGCUGCCUUUAUAUGCCUUGACUCUCAUAGGCCCGCCUAGGGCCACCUUGACCCAUGUACGGCCGACAAGGGCGGCCUUAACCCGCCUUGACCCGUCUUAACCCUCCUUGAUCCACCUAGGGCCGCCAAUGGGGAAGCCUUGAGACGCCUAGGGUCGCCAAGGGGACGUCGUCUUGACCUGCCAAGGGGCUGCCUUUACACGCCUAGGUCUGUUUUGACCUCCCUAGGGCCCGCCAUGACCCACCUAGGGCCACCAAGGGGCUGCCUACGGCCGUUAUGAGGCUACAUUGACCUGUUUAGGGCCGCCUUUACCCACCUUGGCCUGUCUUGGGCGGCCUUGGACCGCCUUGACCCUCUUAGGGCCGCCAAGGGGCCGGGUUCACUCGCCUAAGGCCGCCAAGGGCCGCCCUAACACACCUAGGGCAGCCAAGGGGACGUCUUGACCCGCAAAAGGGCUGCCUUAACACGUGUAGGGCUGUUUUAACCUACCAAGGGCCCGCCAUGACCCUGGUUGGACCGCUUUGACCCGCCUUGACUUGCCUUGGGCUGUCUUGACCCGCCUUAGGCCGCCUUGACCUACAUUGAACCGCCUUGGGCCGCCUUGACCCACCUAGACCCGCCUGGACCCUCUAGAACCACCAAAGGGCUGCAUAGGGCCGCCUUGGACUGCCUUGACCCUCCUAGACUCGCCUAGGGCCACCAAAAAGCUGCAAUGACUCGUCAAGGGGCUGCCUUCACACGCCUUGACCCACCUUGGCCCGCCUUGACUCGUUUUGACCCUCCUAGACCUGCCUAGGGCCGCCUUGACUCUUCUAGACUCGCCUAGGGCCACCAAGAAGCUGCAAUGACUCAUCAAGGGGGUGCCUUCACCCACCCUGGCCCGCCUUAGACCCUCUUGGCCCGUCUUUGGCUGCCUUGACCCUCCUCGGCCCUUCUAGGCCCACCUAGGGCAACCAAGGGGGAGCCAUGACCCACUUAGAGCCGCCAACGACUACCUUUACACGGCUUGACCCUCCUUGGCCCUUCUAGGGCCGCCUUUACCCGCCUUGACCUGCCUUCACCCAGUUAGGGCCGCCUUUACCCGUCUAGAGCCGCCUCGACCCAUAUUAGCCCACCUUGACCCUCCUAGGGCCGCUAAGAGGCCCCUUGACCCGCCUUGACCUUACUAGGCCCUCCUAGGUUCGCCUAGGGCCACCAAGGGGCCGCCAUGACUCGCCAAGGGGCCGCCAUGACUCGCCAAGGGGUCGCCAUGACCCUUAUAUGUCCGUCUAGGGCAUCCUUAACCCUCCUAGGCCCUCCAAAGCUUGCCUAGGGUAGCCAAGCGGCCGCCUUGACCCGUCUUAACCCGCCUUGGGCCGCCUUGACACGCGUAGAGCUGCCUUGACCAACAUGGGCCGACCUUGACCCUCCUAGGGCCACCAAGGAGCUGUCUUGACCUCGCUAGGGCCGCCAAGGGGCCCCGUUCACCUGUCUAAGGCCGCCAAGGGGCUUCCUUGACCCUCCUACAACCCCAUAGGGCCGCCUUGACCCUCCUAGGCCCUCCUUGGCUCGACUAGGGCCAUCAAGGGGCCGCCAUGACCAUCCUAGGCCUGUUUAGGGCCGCCUUUACCCACUUUGACCCGCAUUGGCCCGCCUUAACUUGCCUUGACCCUCCUAGGGCCGCCAAGAGGCCGCCUUGACGCUAGGGCCGCCAAGAGGCUGCCUUGACCUCGCUAGGGCCGCUAAGGGGCCGCCUUCACCCGUCUAAGGCUGCCAACGGGCCGCCUUGACCUCGCUAGGGCCGCGUUCACCCGUUUAAGGCUGCCAAGAGGCUGCCAUAACCCUCCCUACGCCUUCCUAGGCCCUCCUUUGCUCGCCUAGGGUUGCCAAGGGGCUGCUAAGGGGCUGCUAUAACCCUCCUAGACCCGCGUAGGGUAGCCCUCCUAGGCCCUCCUUGGCUGACCUAGGGCCACCAAAGGGUUGCCAUGACUCACCAAGGGGUCGCCAUGACCCUCCUGGGCUUGUGUAGGGCCGCCUUGACUUGCCUAGGGCCGUCAAGCGGCUGCCUUGACCCUGUUGGGGACGCCAUGGGGCUGCGUUCACCCGUUUAAGGUUGCCAAGGGGCCGCCUUGACCCGCCAAGGGGCUGCCUUAACCCUCCUAGACCCUCCUUGACCCUCCUUGGACUGCCUUAACCCGCCUUAACCCGCCUUGGGCCGCCUUCACCCGCCUUGGGCCACCUAGACCCAUCUAGGGCCACUGAGGGGCGCCUUGACCAAGCUAGGGCCGCCAAGGGGUCGACUUGACCCUCCUAGGGCUACCUUGACCAGCCUUGGGUCGCCUUUACCGGCCUUGACCUGCCUAGGGCCUCCAAGCGGCCCUCUUGACCCACCUUGGCCCGCCUUGACCCGCAUUGACCUACCUUGGCCUGCCUUGACCCGCCUUGGACCUGCCUAGGGCCGCCAAGCAGCCGUCUUGACUCGCCUUAACCCUCCUUAAGCCGCGUUACCCCUCCAAGCGGCCGCCUUGGACCGCUUUGACCCGCAUUUACCUGCCUUUGGCCGUUUUAACUCUCUUUGGACCGCCUUAACCCGCUUUGGCCCGGCUUAGGCCUCCUUCACCCGUCUUAGGCCUCCUUCACCCGUCUUAGGCCUCCUUCACCCGUCUUGGGCCGCUUUGGCCCGGCUUAGGCCUCCUUCACCCGUCUUCAGAUUUUUAUACAAGUAUGUAAACAACUUUCAAGCAUCGAAAUCAACAAUAUGUUCAAGUACAUGGCGCCACAACCUGGUUCUUUCUAGUUGAUUUUAUUCAAAUUGGUUUGAAGAAAAUAGAUCACAUAUGCCAAGUUAUUUUCUAGCGUCUAAAGUGAGGUGAUGCUUCGGCCCAAGCUCUUGGCUAGUUCGAGCGUGUUCCGUGUUUUCAGAAGGCUGUGUCGUUAAGAUUCACGGAGGGCGAACCCCCUAUAGGAACCAGGCAGGACUCGUUUAGUGGUCACGGAGAGCGAACUCCCAAUCGACCCCUUCACUGAGAAGAGAUAUCAGUCUAUGACCUUGAGAUCCAGUUAAACAAACCUAAGAACCAUAUCUAUGAAAAUAACUUGCCCCUUACUCAGUUGAGAACAAACUCGGGUCACUAGACCGGUCUACAAGUGUUAAUCAAAGCCGCCCUCAACCUCAUGAGAUCAUAAGAUAACAUGAAGGGUGAAGGCUAAGAUUAACAAAAGUGGCUUCCCCCUACAUAUUUCACUUUAGAAGCUACAAUAAACUCAAGCAUACAUAAAACUAUAAACUUCCUAGAAAUUAAACUAAGUUAUUACAACAUGCAUUCAAGCACACAAAUCAAAACCGAAACUUCCAAAAAUUAAAAAUACAAAUCGGCCAAAAUUAAUUACAAGCCGAAAACCAAUAAUAAUAAAAACUAUAUAACAUCUUCUUCGAUUCUUCUUGGCUUCCCCGGCAACGGCGCCAAAAAUUGACGUGUCGCGUAACCGGGGUCAAACAACUUCAAUUUAAUUACCCUGCAAUCGUAGUAAUAUAGACAAGUAGGGAUCGUUCUAGCCGGGGAAACCAAAGGGCAAUCGAAAGAAGAUAAACCNNNNNNNNNNNNNNNNNNNNNNNNNNNNNNNNNNNNNNNNNNNNNNNNNNNNNNNNNNNNNNNNNNNNNNNNNNNNNNNNNNNNNNNNNNNNNNNNNNNNNNNNNNNNNNNNNNNNNNNNNNNNNNNNNNNNNNNNNNNNNNNNNNNNNNNNNNNNNNNNNNNNNNNNNNNNNNNNNNNNNNNNNNNNNNNNNNNNNNNNNNNNNNNNNNNNNNNNNNNNNNNNNNNNNNNNNNNNNNNNNNNNNNNNNNNNNNNNNNNNNNNNNNNNNNNNNNNNNNNNNNNNNNNNNNNNNNNNNNNNNNNNNNNNNNNNNNNNNNNNNNNNNNNNNNNNNNNNNNNNNNNNNNNNNNNNNNNNNNNNNNNNNNNNNNNNNNNNNNNNNNNNNNNNNNNNNNNNNNNNNNNNNNNNNNNNNNNNNNNNNNNNNNNNNNNNNNNNNNNNNNNNNNNNNNNNNNNNNNNNNNNNNNNNNNNNNNNNNNNNNNNNNNNNNNNNNNNNNNNNNNNNNNNNNNNNNNNNNNNNNNNNNNNNNNNNNNNNNNNNNNNNNNNNNNNNNNNNNNNNNNNNNNNNNNNNNNNNNNNNNNNNNNNNNNNNNNNNNNNNNNNNNNNNNNNNNNNNNNNNNNNNNNNNNNNNNNNNNNNNNNNNNNNNNNNNNNNNNNNNNNNNNNNNNNNNNNNNNNNNNNNNNNNNNNNNNNNNNNNNNNNNNNNNNNNNNNNNNNNNNNNNNNNNNNNNNNNNNNNNNNNNNNNNNNNNNNNNNNNNNNNNNNNNNNNNNNNNNNNNNNNNNNNNNNNNNNNNNNNNNNNNNNNNNNNNNNNNNNNNNNNNNNNNNNNNNNNNNNNNNNNNNNNNNNNNNNNNNNNNNNNNNNNNNNNNNNNNNNNNNNNNNNNNNNNNNNNNNNNNNNNNNNNNNNNNNNNNNNNNNNNNNNNNNNNNNNNNNNNNNNNNNNNNNNNNNNNNNNNNNNNNNNNNNNNNNNNNNNNNNNNNNNNNNNNNNNNNNNNNNNNNNNNNNNNNNNNNNNNNNNNNNNNNNNNNNNNNNNNNNNNNNNNNNNNNNNNNNNNNNNNNNNNNNNNNNNNNNNNNNNNNNNNNNNNNNNNNNNNNNNNNNNNNNNNNNNNNNNNNNNNNNNNNNNNNNNNNNNNNNNNNNNNNNNNNNNNNNNNNNNNNNNNNNNNNNNNNNNNNNNNNNNNNNNNNNNNNNNNNNNNNNNNNNNNNNNNNNNNNNNNNNNNNNNNNNNNNNNNNNNNNNNNNNNNNNNNNNNNNNNNNNNNNNNNNNNNNNNNNNNNNNNNNNNNNNNNNNNNNNNNNNNNNNNNNNNNNNNNNNNNNNNNNNNNNNNNNNNNNNNNNNNNNNNNNNNNNNNNNNNNNNNNNNNNNNNNNNNNNNNNNNNNNNNNNNNNNNNNNNNNNNNNNNNNNNNNNNNNNNNNNNNNNNNNNNNNNNNNNNNNNNNNNNNNNNNNNNNNNNNNNNNNNNNNNNNNNNNNNNNNNNNNNNNNNNNNNNNNNNNNNNNNNNNNNNNNNNNNNNNNNNNNNNNNNNNNNNNNNNNNNNNNNNNNNNNNNNNNNNNNNGGGGCAUGACCCACUUAACGCUGCCACGGGGGUGCCUUUACAUGCCUUGACCCUCCUAGGCCCGCCUAGGGCCAACUUGACCCGUCUAGGGAUGCCAAGAGGCCGCUUUGACCUACCUAGGGCCGCAAAGGGGCCGCCUAGGGCCGCCAAAGGGACGACAUGACCCACCAAGGUGCUGCCUUUACACGCCAAGGGUUGUUUUGACCUCCCUAAGGCCCGCCAUGACCCGACUAUGGCCGCUAAGAGGCUGCCUUGGGCCGCCAUGGGGCCACCUUGACCCUCCUUGGGCCGCCUUGAUCCGUCUUGACCCGCCUUGAACCGUGUUGGGCCGCUAUGACCCGCCUUGACCCGCCUUAAACUGCCUAGACCCACCAAGGGGCUAUCUAGAGCUGCCUUAACCCGCCAUGACCCGCCUUAGACCACCUUGGCUCUCCUUGACUCGCCUUGGACCCGCCUUGACUCGCCUUGACCUGUCUUGGCCUGCCAUGACCCGCCUUGGACCCACCUUGACCCGCCUUGAUCAGUCUUGACUUGUCUUGGCCUGCCAUGACCCGCCUUGGACCCACCUUGACUCGCCUUGAACCGCCUUGACCCUCCUAGGGCCGCCUAGACCGCCUUGGCCCACUUUAACAUACCUUGGCCCGUCUUAGGCCGCCUUGACCUGCCUUGAACCUCCUAGGGCCACCAAGAAGCAGCCAUGACCCUCCUAGGCUUGUCUUGGGCCGCCAAGGGACCGCCUUGUCCCGUCUUGACCCAUCUUGGCCAGCCUUGGGCCGCCUUGACCAUCCUGGACCCUUCUAGGCCCACCUAGGGCAACCAAGGGGCUGCCUUUACACGCCUUGACCCAUCUAGGGCCUCCAAAGGGGCCGCCUUGACACGCCUAGGGCCACCAAUGGGACAUCUUGACCCGCUAAGGGAUGCCUUUACAUGCCCAGGGCUGUUUUGACCUCCAUAGGGCCUCCAAGGGGCUGCCUACGUCCUUAGGGCCCGCCUUUAUCCGCCUUGACCUGCCAAGGCCCGCCAUAAUCCGCCUAGAACCGCUUAGGCCGUCUUGACAUGCCUUGACCCGCCUUUACACAUCUUGAACCGUUUGGCCCACCUUGACCCGCCAUUGGCCGCUUGGACUCACCUUGACCCGCCUUGGCCUGCUUGGGCCUCCUUGACCCUCAUAGACCUGCCUAGGGCACCAAGAAGCUGCCAUGACUCGCCAUGACCCGUCAAGGGGCUGCCUUUACACGCUUUGGACCGCCUUGAUCCGCCUUGACUUGUCUUGACCCGCCUUGGGCCGCUUUGACCCUCCUUAGCCUGCAUUGACCCGCCUUGACCAUCCUCAGCCUUUCUAGGCCCACCUAGGGCAGCCAUGACCCACCUAGAGCCGCCAAGAGGUUGCCUUUCUACACCUUGACUUGUUUAGGGCCGCUAAGGGGGCUGCCAUGACACGCUUAGGGCCGCCAAGGGGAUACCUUGACCAGUCUAGGCCACCAUGGGGCCGCCUUGACCCGUCUUGGACUGUUUUGACCUGCCUUGACCCACCUUGACCUGUCGUGACCCGCUUUGACCCGCCUUGGACUGCCUUGACCCGCCUUGAUGUGCAUUGACUUGCCUUGAGCCACUUUGACCCGUCAUUGCCCACUUUGACCCGCCUUAGACCGCCUUGACCCGCUUUGGACCACAUUGACCCGCGUUGGACUGCUUUGGCCCGCCUUUACCUGCCUUGGGUCACCUUCGGCCGCCUUGACCCGCCUUGAACCGCCAUUGGCCAUCUAGUGCCACCAAGAAGCCGCCAUGACUCGCCAAGGCAUCGCCAUGUCCCUCAUAGUCCCGUAUAGGGCCAACAGGGGACCGCCUUAACUCGCCUUGAUCCUCUUGGGCCUUUCUAGGCCUACCUAAGGCAGCCAAAGGGGCUCCAUGGCCCAUCUAAGGCCGUAAUGGGGAUGCCUUUUCACGCCUUGAUCCAUCUAGGGCCGCCAAAAGGCCGCUUUGACAUUCCUAGGGGGCAGCCUUGACACGCCUUGGGCUAUUUUGACCUCCCACGGGCCGCUAUGACCAGCUUAGGGCCGUCAAAGGGCUGCAUACGUCUGCCAAGAGGCCACCUUGACCCGCCUUGUGCAUCCUUGACCUACUUUUGGCCGCCUUGACCUACCUUGGCCUGCUUUGGGCAGCUUUUACCCGCCUUGAACCGCCUUGAUGAUAGGAGCACAAAGUGUGACGUUCUUAAUAUGUUUAUACCCUUUAUUUACCCUUUGUGAACUCCUAUUUAGUUGUUUUAGCUUUAUAUUUGUGUUUAGUAUAGAAUAAUUGCUUAAUGUUGAAAUAUGUAGGUUUUAGUGUUAGAAUACAUAGUAUUUUCGGAUUUGAAUAAUUUGGUGUUGAAAUUGUGCUAAGUGUUGGAGAUCCUUGUUUACUCAGGAUUCUUGUCUUGAUCAGGAUUCCAUCUUUCCUCUUUCCUAGUUUCUAAUUUUCUUAUUUCUAUUUCAGGAAAGUCUAAACCCGUGUUGACCAGGAAAUGUUUUCCUGACUCAUGAGAGAAAGGUGGCCGGCAGCUAGGAGUUCCUGCUUGAGCUAGAAGAAGUACAAUCCGAGAUAUGUAUGGAAGAUGCCGUGAGAUUUCCCAAGUCACCAAGGAAAGAGACCGUGCGGCCCAAGAGAGAAAAUUUUCCAAGUUCAAGAUGGUUUUGUCAUUCCUUAAUACAUAAAGAUUACUUGAAGACCAAGAGAGGAAGUUAAAUCCAACUUGGACUUGGUUUUGCCGAUUUAAUAAGGAUUCCUUGUGCUUGAGGAAUUCUUGGAGAUCAAGUCUUGUUACUCUAUAUAUAGGGCACGGCAUGGCAGCAGUUUAUGAUCAUCAACCCGUGCAAAAUUACACCAAAGCUNNNNNNNNNNNNNNNNNNNNCUUAUGUGCAUAUCUAAAUUUAGGUUGUGUAUUUGCUCACGGUGUGGACUUAAUUGAGAUUAGAGAUCGUCUUCUUUGUUCUUGCAUGGUUGUUUGGUUGUGUUUGCAUGAUUGUUGGUUGAUCGCAUGUAAAUAUGUAUAGAGGUAAUUUAGGAUUUAUUUCCAAUGUCUAUUCCGAAAUCAUCAAACCUUUAAACCCUAUAUGCUUAUUUCGACAUUUAUAUUAGGUUAGUGGAUCUACCCUGUAGUUAGAUCCCCAGUUUAGAACGAUCCCUGCUUGCUUUAUACUACGAUUGAUUUGUUGAGAGGGUUAAUUGAUGCGUGUGCAAAUAUUUCUUAUCAAAUGGCGCCGUUGCCGGGGAUCCUUCGGGAUCCUCGAUCUUUUUAAUUGUCGAAAUUUGCAUUGUAUAUAUGUCUAUAUGUUUAUAUUUGUAAAGUUAAAACCAUGAAUUUGUGUAUGAUGUAAUUGUGUUUUAUUUUUGUCUUUCUACUUUAAUACUUGUAUAAAUAAUGUUGUAGGUUGUAAUGCACAGGAAUAGGUAGGAUCCCUUUUGUUAAUUCUAGCCUUAACCCUUCUUGUUUACUCUCGGGUUUGCAUGAGGUUGUGGGCGGCUUUUAUUAACACUUGGAGUCAUGUUUGGUUCAUAAGUUUGUUGCUAGCUGAGUACAUUGGUACGCUCCUUCUAUUACUCUGGUGCAUGGGGCCAAAAUUGGAUCUCAAGAGCCUUGAAGACAUACAUCUCGGUGAUGAAGUUCUCAUUGCUCACUAAACGAGUCCUACCAUGUUCACUAUCUCUGGAUUGAGCUAUUGACCUUUAGAAGCCACGCUUCAAGCUAUCGAAACAUCUAUAUCCAGGCCGCACGUCCACCGUGUCUUACCAUCUUGAAUCAUUAUUUAUUUAAGUGUUUUAGUAGCAACUCGAGAAUAAGCUUGUAUGACUUUGUAAUCUUAAAGAUUGGUGCCAUGUAUGAUUUUGUAUUUAAUUUGUUUCGAAAUUUAUCUCUUGAUUUUCGAAUUUCUUUUGUUUUCCUUUGUUUUGUUUUCCUUUGAUUGAUUUUUGGAACCCUUGGUUCCUUUCUCUUAUUUAUAAGAACCCUUGGUUCUUAGCUUAGUCUAGUUUAUUGCUUUUGAUUUCGUUUUAUACUCAUGCAUUCUAACUUGAUCUUGGCCAAAUAGUUUUUCAGGUGCUAGACGUGCAUGCAACCUCGACUCACUCGUUCGUCUUCACAAGGAGCUCUUGUUCCAUUGAAUCCGGAGAUUGAUUGUGCUUGUAAAGAACAAAGAAAGAAGCAAAAAGGACCAUCAAGUAGCACGGUUGGACCUUUAGAAUUUGAAGAGCAAGAUCCUCCUUCUCCCUUUCAGAUCCAGUCCGAAUCUUCAUCUUCAUCCGAAUCGGAGAUUGACUGUGAGGAAGACAAGUCCGACAUCGACAUGACCGACUCACCACUCCAAUCUGCUUUCAUCCCCACAGCCCCGGAAUCACCUUAAUGCAUUGCUUUCACUGUGCCUAAUGAAGCCAACUUCUUCAUACCGGUUCAGUUGCUUGGGCAAUUGCCUAAGUACUCGGGUUCUCUAAUGGAGGACCCUAAUGUUCACCUUAGAGAGUUUCUCGAUAUCUGUAGAUUGCAAUCAAUCAAUCAUCUUACUCCAGAAGGCCUAAAGUUGCUUUUAUUUCCUUUUACUCUUAAAGAUGAUGCUAAGCGUUGGUUGUAUUCUUUGCCUGCAGGAAUCAUCACCAAUUAGAAUGAGAUGACCUCGAAGUUCUUGAAACAAUUCUUCCCUGCGCAACUCACGAAGAAGCUAAGGAGGGAGAUUCAGAACUUCACUCAAAAGGAUGGUGACACUCUCUAUGAGGCAUAGGAAGAGUUUCAGGAACUUCAGAGGAAGUGCCCUCAUCAUGGAAUUACUUUGGACGAGUUAGUUCAAGCUUUUUAUGAGGGACUUGACAACACCAACAAGGGUAUGGUGGACUCUGUAUGUGGAUGCACAUUUAUGAACAAGACCUGACGGCAAACAUAUAACUUAAUUGAGGACUUGGCGGAUAACAAUCGUCAAUUCAGCACCAAGAACUCAAGGAAGUCGGCAGGAGGCCGUGGUGGUGUCUAUGACAUUGAAGCUCGGAAUCAGAUGAUCACGUUGGAUAGGAAGCUUGAUGUCUUGGUCAAGGCUUUCAAUGGUUCGAAUCUUGGCAACCAAGCUUGUGGAAUUUGCUCACUUUCGGAUCACUCUACAGAUUCAUGUCCGAAUGGUGCUUUGAGUGAGGCGGAGUUGAACUUUAUGGGUACAACAGAGGCAACGUUAUGAUCCAUAUUCGAACACUUACAANNNNNNNNNNNNNNNNNNNNCUUUGAUACAAGUAGUUGAUAAGUUGCAUUGUCUUUGUUAUUUCACCGAUUUUCUACCUAUGUUUGAUUUGGACUUGUGCUUAAACACAUCGAUUCUUUAUGUGAUACGUAAUUGCAUGAUUAGUUUAUGUGUGUGACCUAUAAGUAGAGCACGUAGCCGAGCUUGUUUGUGUCGCGAUGUUGAAUGAAACCCGUAGUCUAAUUCAAAGUAUGGUCUAUGUCAUAGGAACCACGUAGGAACUUAUGUGCAUAUCAAAUUUAGGUUGUAUAUUUGCUCACGGUGUGGACUUAAUUGAGAUUAGAGAUCGUCUUCUUUAUUCUUGCAUGGUUGUUUGGUUGAGUUUGCAUGAAUGUUGGUUGAUCACAUGUAUAUAUGUAUAGAAGUAAUUUAGGAUUUAUUAUUAAUAUUGUUCCGAAAUCAUAAAACCUUUAAACCUAUAUGCUUAUUUCGAUACUUACAUUAGAUUAGAUGGAUCUACCCUGUAGUUGGAUCCCCGGUUUAGAACGAUCCCUGCUUGCUUUAUACUACGAUUGAUUUGUUGACAGGGUUAAUUGAUGCGUGUGCAAAUACGUCUUAUCACUAUCUCUUUGUGGUGAUUUGAGGUGAUGAUUCAAUACAAGUGUGGGGUUGUUCUAAGGAGUUUGUUGCCGAGAUACAUAUGAGAAAAGGAAAAAAUUGCUCUCGGAAGAAAAGAAAAAAAAACAGAAAAAAAAAGUUUCGAAUUGAUUUUGAUGAAGAUAUCUCGGCCUAGAUGUAGUUUUUGUGAAUUUGGAGUUGUGAUUUGUUUGUUGAAGGCUCAAUAUGUUAUACUUUUAGCUUUUGUUCCUUUUCACAAUGUUUAAAGUGAAGGAUGGGUCCAACAUGAUGAUAUUUGGCCCUUGAUGGUGUUUGGUGAAAUAAGGUGGAUGUUCUUGCUCUGCUAAGUCUUGAGGAUGACCUUUAUGAUUCCUUAAAUUUGAAAAUUUUUCCAUGCCGCGAGCCUAACCAACCUAUUUUCUAAAGAUCCGCAUGAUUCUUAAGAUAAGUAACCUUUGAUCUGUGGAGUUUGUUUCAUGAGUAAGCAUAUGGUUGUGGUUCAUUUAUGCAUAUGAUUGGUAUCUUUUAUGAGGUUUUUAAAUUCACUAUGUCUUUAUAACUCUUGUGUGUGAAAAGCUUCUAAGCAUAUGUCAUGUUCUUGAGAGAAAAAAUUCGGAGUGCAUAUCCUUUGUGAGUUGAAUUUGAACUUGUUUGGAACAUGUUGAGCUUAAUUUCACCUUUGUUUCUGCCAUGUCUUACUUGUUACAUCGAAAUCUCAUGUUAUUAACCAUUGAAUUCGUCUUUCAAUUUCGAUUCUUGUGCUAUUCUUGUAUGCUAUGNNNNNNNNNNNNNNNNNNNNUCUUGCAGUCCCUGCUGAUCCGAAAUCCACUCAAGCCGUGCUUGAGAAAGGUAAGUCUUUUAGCUCUAAUGGUUUAGUUUCUACUAAUGUCCAUGCUCGUGCCCCUUUCCUCAACAGGUUUGCUAAAUCAAAGCACGAUGAAGCUGAUCAUGCAAUGAUUGAGUUAUUCAAGAAGGUGGAAGUAAACAUGCCAUUGCUUGAGUGCAUUCAACAAAAUCCAAAGUAUGCGAAAUUCUUGAAAGAGUUGUGCACCAACAAGAGGCUACCACGAGAGAAGGAUGUAGCGGUAAUGAAUAAAACAAUCUCUGCGGUUUUUCAAAGGAAACUACCACCUAAGCUUAAGGAUCCAGGGAGUUUUUCGAUUCCAUGCACCAUUGGUACUCAUAGUUUUGAUAAGAUCAUGUUAGAUCUAGGUGCUUCGAUUAAUGUUAUGCCCUCUUAUCUUUAUGCGGACUUAGGUCUAGGUGAUUUGAAAAAGGAUAACAUUAUCAUUAGAUUGGUUGACCGCUCCAACAAGAUCCCUCUGGGAUAUGUUGAGGAUGUUUUAGUGUAGGUUGCAAGUUUAACAUUUCCUGCAGAUUUCUAUGUCAUUGACAUGGAACCGGCGGAUGCAGAUGACAAAAAAAUUCCCAUUCUAUUGGGAAGGCCAUUCAUGAGAACCGCAAGGACCAAAAUUGAUGUCUACUUAGGGGAACUAACUUUCGAAAUAGAUGGAGACAUCAUUAGUUACAAUGUUUUUGAUGCGAUGAGGUAUCCACUUCCUGAACUUUUUCGAGAUUUCUUUUCUAUUGAUGUUGUGGAUGAUCUUGCGGAUGAAUAUGUGGAGACAAUAGCUCAAGACACCUUGGCACUCACCUUGGCAAAAGGAAUCAGAUUUGAUGCCAUGGGGAACAACAUCACCUUAGCUCAAUACACCGUGCCUCUGCCCUUGCUUGAGAUCGUGCAGUCGCUUGAGGUGGCUGCCGAGGUAUGCUACUCCUCCCCUAGUCCAAUUCUCUUUCCAUCUAACAAGUUUCUUCCUUCCAUUAUCCAAGCCCCAAAAUUAGAUCUCAAGGUUCUUCCGGAACAUUUGAAGUAUGUGUAUUUGGGAGAGAAUGAAACGUUGCCAGUUAUCAUAUCAUCAUCACUAGAGAAGGAGCAAGAGGAGAGAUUGAUCGAAGUUUUGAAAAGACACAAGAUGGCCAUAGGUUGGACCUUAGCCGACAUCAAGGAAAUUAGUCCUACAAUGUGUGUUCAUCGAAUUUUGCUUGAAGAUGGAGCAAAACCGACCAAGGAGGGUCAACGACGUCUUCAUCCACCUAUGAUGCAAGUUGUGAAGGAUGAGGUGACAAAGUUGCUCGAUUGUGGAGUCAUCUACCCAAUUUCGGAUUCAAGGUGGAUUUCACCGGUUCAAGUUGUGCCAAAGAAGAGCGGAAUCACGGUGGUGAGGAAUGAUGAAAACGAGCUUGUGCCGCAAAGGACCGUAACCGGCCACCGAGUGUGUAUCGAUUAUAGGAGGCUCAAUGCAACAACAAGGAAGGAUCACAUGCCGUUGCCAUUUAUUGAUCAAAUGCUUGAGAGGUUAGCCGGUCAUUCCUUCUAUUGUUUUCUUGACGGUUAUAGUGGUUACAAUCAAAUACGUGUUGCGGAAGAGGAUCAAGAGAAGACAACGUUUACAUGUCCCUUUGGCACUUUUGCCUACCGCCGCAUGCCUUUUGGUUUGUGCAAUGCUCCAGCUACGUUUCAAAGAUGCAUGUACCACAUAUUUUCUGAGUUCAUAGGUUCUAUGAUUGAAGUCUUUAUGGAUGAUUUUUCUGUUUAUGGUGGAGAUUUCGAUGCAUGUUUAGAAAAUGUAGAACUUGUGCUUAGGAGAUGUGAGGAAACUAAUCUUGUGCUUAAUUGGGAAAAAUGUCACUUCAUGGUUACUCAGGGUAUAGUACUCGGCCAUAUUGUUAGUUCUAGGGGUAUUGAGGUUGAUAAAUCUAAGAUAGAUCUUGUGCGUCACUUACCCAUCCCCACAAGUGUGAGGGAUGUUCGAAGCUUUCUUGGACAUGCAGGUUUUUAUCGUCGAUUUAUCAAAGAUUUCUCCAAGAUAGCUCGGCCCUUGAGUUUGUUGCAAAAAGAUGUGCCCUUCCACUUUGAUGCCGAGUGCAAGGAGGCUUUUGAGCGGUUGAAAACCAUGUUGACAUCGGCGCCGAUCAUGGCGCCACCGGAUUGGUCCUUGCCCUUCGAGUUGAUGUGUGACGCCUCAGACUAUGCCGUGGGGGCUGUGCUCGGACAGAGAAAAGAACAGCAGCCGUAUGCCAUAUAUUAUGCCUCUCGGAUGCUCAAUGAUGCGCAACAGAACUACACCACCAUCGAGAAAGAACUUCUUGCCGUGAUCUUUGCUUUGGAUAAGUUUCGUUCUUCCUUACUCCAAUCUAAAGUUAUUGUUUACACUGACCAUGCGGCUUUGAAGUAUUUGUUGACAAAGAAGGAUGCCAAGCCGAGAUUGAUAAGGUGGAUAUUGCUUCUCCAAGAGUUCGAUUUGGAAAUCAAAGACAAGAAGGGGUCGGACAACGUUGUUGCCAACCACCUUAGCCGGUUGGUANNNNNNNNNNNNNNNNNNNNUAAUCGGAACUCACCAUCAUCCUUGAUCCGAAGCAAGUAGCUUAGGGUUCCGCUCACUCGAAGAAUAGAACAAGUAGGGAUAUUUUGAGAGUGAAUUCCAUCUUUUACUUUCGGAUUAGAAUGUGUUCGUUCUUUUUGAUGUUUGUUUUAGGUUUUUGCUUAAGUAUAUUUCGAUUCUUGUCUAUGAGAUAGAAGUACUUUUGAGCCAUGUUUUGAAUUGAAGUUUAUGAUUUAUGAUCAAUGAUUUUAGGUUUUAUGCCGUGAGUUUUAUGUCCAUGUAUUUUAAGAUUUUCGGUGUAUUCUUCUAUUUUCAUGUGUAAUUGAUAUAAGUAGUUGAUGUUGCAUGUGUUAAUCAUCCAAGGUUCGACUUUGAUACAAGUAGUUGAUAAGUUGCAUUGUCUUUGUUAUUUCACCGAUUUUCUACCUAUGUUUGAUUUGGACUUGUGCUUAAACACAUCGAUUCUUUAUGUGAUACGUAAUUGCAUGAUUAGUUUAUGUGUGUGACCUAUAGGUAAAGCACGUAGCCGAGCUUGUUUGUGUCACGAUGUUGAAUGAAACCCGUAGUCUAAUUCAAAGUAUGUCUAUGUCAUAGGAACCACGUAGGAACUUAUGUGCAUAUCAAAUUUAGGUUGUGUAUUUGCUCACGGUGUGGACUUAAUUGAGAUUAGAGAUCGUCUUCUUUGUUCUUGCAUGGUUGUUUGGUUGUGUUUGCAUGAUUGUUGGUUGAUCGCAUGUAAAUAUGUAUAGAGGUAAUUUAGGAUUUAUUUCCAAUGUCUAUUCCGAAAUCAUCAAACCUUUAAACCCUAUAUGCUUAUUUCGACAUUUAUAUUAGGUUAGUGGAUCUAUCAUGUAGUUGGAUCCCCGGUUUAGAACGAUCCCUGCUUGCUUUAUACUACGAUUGAUUUGUUGAGAGGGUUAAUUGAUGCGUGUGCAAAUACAUCUUAUUACUUGACUCUCCUAAACCCACCUAGGGCCACUAAGAUGCCACCAUGAUUCGCCAAGGGGUCGCCAUGACCCUCCUAGGCCCGUCUAGGGCUGCCAAGGGGCCGCCUUGACCUGUCUUGGCCCGUGUUGACCCGCUUAGGAUCGCCUUGACCCACCUUGAUUUGUCUUGACCCGCCUUGAAACAGCUAGGGCUGUUAUGACCUCCCUCGAGCUCGCCAUAACCUGCCUAAGGCCGCCAAGAGGCCACCUUGAACCGCCUCUGCCCGUCUUGGCCCGUCUUGACCCGCAUUAACCUGCCAUAGCCCGCUUUGGCUCGCCUUGGACCGUCUUGGGCCACUUGGACCCGCCUUGGGCCGCCUUGACCCGCCUUGGCUCGCUUUGGGCCGCCUUUACCCUCUUUGAACCGCCUUGACUCUCCUAAACCCACCUACGGCCACCAAGAGGCCGCCAUUAUUCACCAAAGGGUCGCUUUGACCCGCCUACAACCACCAAAGAGCUGCCUACGGCCGCCAUGGGAUACCUUGACCCGCCUUGGACCACCUUAACCUGCCUUGAUGUGCAUUGACUUGCCUUGACCCGCCUUGAGCCGCUUUGACCCGCCAUUGCCCGCUUUGACCCGCUUUGGCCCGCCUUGACUCGCCUUAGACCGCUUUGACCCGCCUUGGGCUGCAUUGAACCGCCUUGGACUGCCUUGGACCGUCUUUGCCAAGGGCCGCCUUGACUAGCCUUGAACCGCCAUUGGCCACCUAGUGCCACUAAGAAGCCGCCAUAACUCGCUAAGGCAUCGCCAUGUCCCUCCUAGGGCCGCCAAGGGACCGCCUUAACCCGCUUUGAUCCUCCUGGGCGCUUCUAGGCCGGCCAAGGGCAGCCAAGGGGGUCGCCAUGACAUGCUUAGGGCUGUUUUGACCUCCCGCUGGCCCGCCAUGACCCGCCUAGGGCCGCCAAAUGGCUGCUUACGUCUGCCAAGAGGCCACAUUGACCCGUUUUGGCCCGUCUUGCUCCACCUUAACUUGCCUUGGACCGCCUUGACCCUCCUUGCGCCACCAAGGGCCGUCUUGGCCUGCUUUGGGCAGCCUUUACCCACCUUGACCCUCCUAAACCCACCAAGGGCUACCAAGAGGCAGCCAUGAUUCGCCAAGGGGUCGCUAUGACCAUCCAAGGCCAGUCUGGGGCUGCCAAGGGGCCGCCUUGACCCGCCUUGACCUUCCUUGACCCGCCUUGACCCGUCUUGACCCGCCUAGGACAGCCUUGACCCGCCUUGACUUGUCUUGACCCGCCUUGGCUCGACUUGGGCCGUUUUGACCCCCUUUGCCUGCCUUGAUCCGCUUUGGCCCGAUUUAGAGCGUUAUGACCCGCCUUGGGCUGCAUUGACCUGUCUUGGACCGCCUUGACUCGCCUUGACAUGCCUUGGGCCGCCUUGACCCGCCUUUGGCCACCUAGUGCCACCCAGAAGCUGUCCUGACUCAUCAAUGCAUCGCCAUGACCCUCUUAGGCUCGUAUAAGGCCGCCAAGGAACCGCUUAACCCUCCUCGUCCCGGCUCGACCCUCCUCAGCCCUUCUAGGCCCAUCUAGGGCAGCCAAGAGGGCGCCAUGACCCACCUAGGGCCGUUAAGGGGCUGUCAUUACACGCCUUGACCCGUUUAAGGCUGCCAAGAGGCCGCCUUGACAUUCCUAGGACAGCCAAGGGGCCGCCUUGACAUGCCUAGGGGUGUUUUGACCUCCCUCAGGCCCGCCAUGACCCGCCUAGGCUUGUCUUGGGCCACCUUGACCCACCUUGACCCGCCUUAACCCACCUUGACCUACCUUGGACCGCUUUAUGCCACCUAGGACCGCCUUGACCCGCGUUGACCCGCCUAGGCUUGUCUUGGGCCACCUUGACCCACCUUGACCCGCCUUGGCCCGCCUUCACCCACCUUGACCAGCCUUUGACCGCCUUGACCCGCCUAGGGCCACCUUGACCCUCCUAGACUCGCUAAAGGCCACCAAGAAGCCGUAAUGACUCGUCAAGAGGCUGCCUUCACAUGCCUUGACCCACCUUGGCAUGCCUUUGGCCGCCUUGACCCGCUUUGGGCCGCCUUGACUCACCUAGGACCGCAUUGACCCGCUUUGGACCGCAUUGACCCGCCUAGGACCGCCUUGAUCCGCCAUGACUUGCCUUGACCCGCCUUUACUUGCUUUGGUCCGCCUUACACCUCUUUGACCUGCCUUGGGCCGCAUUGACCCUCCUUGGCCUGCAUCGACCCGCCUUGACCAUCCUCGGCUUUUCUAGGCCUACCUAGGGCAGCCAUGACCCACCUAGAGUCGCCAAGAGGUUGCCUUUAUACGCCUUCACCUGUUUAGGGCCGCCAAGGGGCCGCCAUGACACGCCUAGGGCUGCCAAGGGGCCGCCAUGACACGCCUAGGACAGCCAAGGGGUAGCCAUGACCCACGUAGAGCCGCCAAAGGGCUGCCUUUAUACGCCUUGACCAGUCUAGAGCCGCCAAGUGGGCCGCCUUGACCCAUCUAGGGCUGCCAAGGGGGCCGCCAUGACACUCUAAGGCCCGCCAAGGGGACGUUUUGACCCGCCAAGGGGCUGCCUUUACUCGCCUAGGUCUGUUUUGACCUCCCCAGGGCCCGCCUAGGGCCUCCAAGGGGCUGCCAUGACCCGCCUUGUGCCACCAAGAAGCCGCCAUGACCCUCCUAAACCCGUAUAGGGCCGCCAAGGGACCGCUUUAACCCUCCUUGACCCUCCUCGGCCCUUCUAUGCCUGCCUUGGACUGCCUUGACCCGGCUAGGACCGCCUUGACCUGCCUUGGACCACCUUGACUCACCUAGAACCGCCUUGAAUUUCCUUGGGCCGUUUUGACUCGCUUUUGCCCGCUUUGACUCGUUUUGGCCCGCCUUGGGCCGCAUUUACCUACCAGGAGGCCACCUUAACUCCUAGGAUCGCCAAGGGGGCCGCCUUGACACGGCUAGGGCUGUUUUGACCUCCCUCGGGCCCACCAUAACCUGCCUAGGGCCGCCAAUGGGCAGCAUACGUCCGCCAAGAGGCCACCUUGAACCGUCUCUGCCCGUCUUCGGCCGCCUUGACCUGCCUUGUGCUGUUAAGGGCCGCCAUGACCCGCCUUGGCCCGCUUUGGGCCGCCUUUACCUUCCUUGAACCUCCUUGACCCUCCUAAACCGACCUAUGGCCACCAAGAGGCUGCCACGAUUCGCCAAGGGGUCGCUAUGACCCGCCUAGGGGCGCCAAAGGGCUGCCUACGGCCUCCAUGGGGAUACCUUGACCCGUCUAGGCCACCAUGGGGCCGCCUUGACCCGCCUUGGCCUUCCUUAGACCGCCUUGACCCGCCUUGGCCUUCCUUAGACCGCCUUAACCCACCUUGACUCGUCGUAACCCGCCGUGACCCGCUUUGACCAGCCUUGGACCGCCUUGAUGUGCAUUGACUUGCCUUGACCCGCCUUGAGCUGCUUUGACUCGCCAUUGCCCGCUUUGACCCGUCUUAGACCGCUUUAACCCGUUUUGGGCCGCAUUGACCUGCGUUGGACUGCCUUGGCCCGCCUUUACCUGCCUUAGCCCGCCUUGACCCGCCUUAAACCACUAUUGGCCACCUAGUGUCACCAAGAAGCCGCCAUGACUCGCCAAGGCAUCGCCAUGUCCCUCUUAGGCCCGUAUAGGGCCGCCAACCGCCAAGGGACUGCCUUAACCCACCUUGAUCCUCUAGGGUCCUUCUAGGCCCACCUAGGGCAGCCAAAGGGGCGCCUUUACCUGCCUUGAUCCUUUUGGGCCCUUCAUGACCCACCUAGGGCCGCAAUGGGGCUGCCUUUACACGCCUUAACCCGUCUAGGGCCGCUAAGAGGCCACCAAGGGGGCCGCCUUGACACGCCUAGGGUUGUUUUGACCUCCUUCGGGCUCGCCAAAACCUGCCUAGGGCCGCCAAAAGGCUGCCUACGUCUGCCAAGAGGCCACCUUGACCCGCCUUGACCCACCUUGACCUGCCUUAGGCUGCCUUGACCCGCCUUGAUGUGAAUUUCUUUGGGCCGCCUUGACCCGCCUUUGCCCGCUUUGACUUGCUUUGGCCCGCCUUAGACUGCUUCGGCCCGCCUUGGGCCGCAUUGACCUGCCAAGAGGCCGCCUUGAUUUUCCUAAGACCGCCUUGACACGGCUAGGGCUGUUUUUGACCUCCCUCGGGCCCACCAUGACCCGCCUAGGGCCACUAAUGGGCUGCAUACGUCCGCCAAGGGGCCACCUUGACCCGUCUAGGGCCACCAAUGGGCUGCAUACGUCCUCUGUCGCGCUCGCCAUAACCCGUCUUAGGGCGCCUUAACCUGCCUUGAGCCGCCUUGGACCGCCUUGGACCGCCUUGACCCGCCUUGUGCCGCUAAGGGGCCGCCUUGACCCGCCUUAGCCCGCCUUUACCCUCCUUGAACCACCUUGACCCUCUUAAACCCACCUACGGCCACCAAGAGGCCACCAUGAUUCGCCAAGGGGUUGCUAUGACAUGCCUAGGGGCGCCAAAGGGUUGCCUACAGCCGCCAUGGGGAUACCUUGACCUGUCUAGGCCGCCAUGGGGCCGCCUUGACCUGCCUUGGACCGCCUUGGCCAUACUUGAACCGCCUUAACCCACCUUGACCCGCCAUGACCCACCAUGACCCGCUUUAACCCGCCUUGGACCGCCUUGAGCCGCUUUGACCCGCCUUAGACCGCUUUGACCCACUUUGGGCCACAUUGACCCGUGUUGGAAUACCUUGGCCCGCCUUUACAUGCCUUGGGCCGCCUUGAACCGCUAUUGGCCACCUACUGCCACCAAGAAGCAGCUAUGACUCGCCAAGGCAUUGCCAUGUCCCUCCUAGGCCCGUAUAGGGCCGCCAAGGGACCGCAAUGGGGUAGCCUUUACAUGCCUUGACCUGUCUAGGGCCGCCAAGAGGCCGCUUUGACAUUCUUAGGGCCACCAAGGGAGCCGCCUUGACACGCCUAGGGCUGUUUUGACCUCCCUCGGGCCCACCAUGACCCGCCUAGGGCUGCCUAUGUCUACCAAGAGGUCACCUUGACCCGCCUUGGCCCGUUUUGUGUCGCCUUGACCCACCUUGACGUGCCUUGGGCCGUCUUGACCCACCUUGGACCGCCAAGGGCUGCCUUGGCCCGCUUUGGGCAGCCUUUACCCGCCAUGAACUGCUUUGGCCCUCUUAAACCCACCUAGGACCAAGGGGUUGCCAUGACCUUCCUAGGCCCGUCUAGGGCUGCCAAGGGGCCGCCUUGACCCGCCUUAACCCGCCUUGGCCCGCGUUGACCCACCUUGGACCGCCUUGACCCCCUUAACUUGUCUUGACUCGCCUUGAAACGGCUAAGGCUGUUUUGACCUCCCUCGAGCCUGCCAUUACUCGUCUAGGGCCGCCAAUGGGCUGCCUAUGUCCGCCAAGAGGGCACCUUGAACCACCAAGGGGGGCCUUGACCCGCCUUUACCUGCCUAGGGCGGCCAAGCGGUCGUCUUGACCCGCCUUGACACGUAUUGGCCCACAUUGACCCUCCUAGGGCCUCCAAAAGGCCGCCUUGACCCGUUUAAGGCCACCAAGGGUCCGCCUUGACCCCGCUAGGGCCGCCAAGGGGCCGUGUUCACCCGUCUAAGGCCUCCAAGGGCCACCUUGACCCGCCAAGGGGCUCCCUUGACCCUUCUUAACACGCCCAGGGCCGCCUUGACCUUCUUAGGUUGUCCUAGGCUCUCCUAGGGCCAACAAGAGGUCGCCAUGACUCGCCAAGGGGUCGCCAUGACCCUCCUAGUCCUGUCUAGGGCUGCCUUGACCCUUUUAGAACCUCCUAGGCUUGCUUAGGGUAGCCAACGGGUCGCCUUGACCUGCUUAGGACCGCCAAUUGGCCGCUUUGAUCAGCCUUGGGCUGUCUUGGGCCGCCUUGGACCACCCUGACCUGCCUGAACCCGUCAUGGGCCGCCUUAACCUCAUAGGGUCGCCAAUAAGGCACCUUAACCCAUUUAGGGCCCCGAAGGGGCCUCCAAAAAUGCUACCUUGACUUGCCUAGGGCCGCCAAACGGCCGCCUUACUCGUCCUGACCCUCAUAAGGGGCCACCUUAACCCUCUUAGGGCCGCCAUGACCCGCCAAGGAGCCACUUUGACCCGUCUUGACCCGCCUUGACUGCCUUGACAGCCUUGACAUGCCAACGGGCAGCUUUGACCCGCCUUAACCGCAACCGCUGUGACCCACCUUGACAAGUCAAGUGGCCGCUUUGACCCGCCUUGUCAUGCCAAGGGACGGCCUUAACCCGCUUUGAUAUGCCAAGGGACCGCCUAGACCUACUUAGGCCGCUUUGACCUGCCUUGGGCUGCCUUGACCCUCAUAAGGCCUCCAAUAAGGCGCAUUGACCCAUCAAGGGCCACCAAGAGGCCGCCUUAACCCUACUAGGGCCGUCAUGAUCCGCCUUAACCCUACUAGGGCCGCCAUGAUCCGCCUAUGGCUGCCAAGGACCGCCUUGACCCUCCUAGGGCCACCUUGACCCGCCAAGGGGCCACUUUGACCCACCUUGACCCGCCUUGACUGCCUUUACCGGCCUUGACAUGCCCUGACUGCCUUGACCCACCCUGACUGCCUUGACCCGGCUUAACUACCUUUACCCGCCUUAACCGCUUUGACCCACCUUGACAAGCCAAUGGGCCGCUUUGACCCGCCUUGACAUGCCAAGGGACCGCCUUGACCCGCUUUGACAUGCUAAGGGGCUUCUUUGACCCGCCUUCACCUGCCAACGGACCGCCUAGAUCCACUUAGGCCGCUUUAACCCGCCUUGGGCCGCCUUGACCUUUAUAAUGCCGCCAAUAGAGCCCCUUGACCCAUCAAGGGCCACCAAGAGGCCGCCGAGGGGCCGCCUUAACCCUUCUAGGGCCACCAUGACUCGCCUAAGGCUGCAAAGGGACCGCCUUGACCCUCCCAGGCCUUGACCCGCCAAGGGGCCACGUUGACCCGCCUUGACCCGCCCUGACUGCCUUUACCCGCCUUGACAUGCCCUGACUGCCUUGACCCGCCCUGACUGCCUUGACCAGCCCUGACUUCCUUGACCCGCCCUAACUACCUUGACCCGCCUUAACCGCUUUAACCCACCUUGACAAGUCAAGGGGCCGCUUUAACCCGCCUUGACAUGUUAAGGACCGCCUUGACCCCCUUUGACAUGCUAAAGGGCCGCUUUGACCUGCCUUCACCUGCCAAGGGACCGCCUUGGCCCUCCUAGACCCAUGUAGGGACCUCCUACACCCGCUUAGGUGUAGCUUAGACCUGCCAAAACCCGUCUAAGGCCGCUAGUGGACUGCCUUAACCUGCCAAGGGACCGCCAUGACCCGCUAAGCGACCGCUUUGAUCCGCCUUGGGCCGCCUUGACCCUCAUAAAGCCGCCAAUAGGGCGCCUUGACCCAUCAAGGGCCACCAAGGGGCAGCCUUGACCAAGCUAGGGCCGCCUUAACCUGCCAAGGGACCGCCUUGACCCGCUAAGGGGCCGUUUUGACCCGCCUUAACUGCCUUGACCCGCCUUGACAUGCCAAGGGGCAACUUUGACCUGCCUUAACCGCUUUGACCCACCUUGACAAACCAAGGGGCCGCUUUGACCCGCUUUUGACAUGCCAAUGGACCGCCUUGACCCGCUUUGACUUGCUAAAGGGCCGCUUUGACCCGCCUUCACCUGCCAAAGGGACCGCCUUGGUCCUCCUAGACCCACGUAGGGACCACUUAGACCCACUUAAGGUCACCAAAGGGGCACCUAGCCCCGCUUCGGUGUAGCCUAGACCUGUCAAAACCCGUCUAUGGCCGCUAAUGGACUGCCUUGACCCGCCGGGGGCCACCAGGGGCCGUUUUGACCCGCCAAGGGGCUUCUUUGAUCCUUCUUGACCUACCAAUGGACAGCCUUGGCCCUCCUACACCCACGUAGGGACCACCUAAACCCACUUAAGGUCGCCAAAGGGGCCCCUAGACCUGCUUAGAUGUAGCCUAGACCUCCUAAGGUUGCUGCCAAGACCUGCCUAGGGUCGCUAGUGGACUGCCUUGACCCGUCGAGGGACGCCAAGGGGAUGAUUUGACCUGCCUUAGCACAUUAAAGGGCCGCUUUGACCCGCCUUGACCUGCCAAGGGGCCGCUUUAACCCACCUUGACCUGUCAAGGGAUCGCCAUGACAUGCCAAGGGGCCGCUUUGACCCACCUUAACCUGCCAAGGAACCGCCUUGACCCUCCUAGACCCACGUAGGGACCACCAAUACCCACUUGAGGUCACCAAGGGGCGCCCUGACUCGCCUAGGGUCAUCAAGACCUGCCUAGACCCGCUUAGAACCCGCGUAGGGACCGCCUAGACCCGUUUAGGUUUAGCCUAGACCUCGCCAAGGGACGGCCGAGAACUGCCUAGGGUAGUUAGUGGGCUACCUUGACCCGCUAAGGGCCCCCAAGGUGCCGUUUUGACCCGCCUUGACCUGCCAAGGGACCUCCUUGACCCGUCUUACAUGUCAAUGGGCCACUUUGACCCGCCUUGACCUGCCAAUGGACCGCUUUGACCCGCCUUGGGCCACCUUCACCCACCUUAGAUAGCCUUGGGCCGCUUUGACCCGCCUUGACUCUCCUAGACCCGCCAAAGGGUUGCCUAGGGCCGCCAUGGGGCUGCCUUGAUCCAUCUUGGCCCGGCUUGACCCGCCUUAGCCCUCCUUGACUUGCCUUAGACCACCUUUGACAGGACCCACCCCGAAUUUCACCCUGAAACCCGAAGUAAAUCCUGCGGGGACCACCUCCAAGGAAAGUUUACCGAAAAAUUCGACAGAACCUCCCUUGAAAAUGGACAACCCUUCCUAAUAAAACCUGCAAACACUUCUGAAAAUUUAAAUCCAACCAUAAACUCCUGGAGCCUUCGUGCUCCCCAAAUCACAACAUCUCCCAAUUUAAUUUCUAACUUAAACAAGAAAAUCUCAUAGCCAACAGCCACAGUUCAGAGCAACUCUAUUUGAAAGGAAAUGAACUAGAAAUAUAAAAAUGAGCGGAAGCUACACUAUUGACUAUGCCUCUUCUCCAUAUACGUCCGACCUCAACUAUGCAAUCCUGCAAACUGGGCAUUUUUAAAACGAAGAGCCCAGGGGAAAACAUUUGAAAACGAAACGUUAGAGUGAGUGGACAAAAAUAAAUUAACGAAUAAAAUAUCUAAUGUUUCCCCAAAUCAAUUUCCAAGGAAAAUCGAAUACAUGCUGCAAGCGAUAAAACUUUUAUCUCAUAAAUAUCGAGUCUCUCAGGCUCUAUAAUAUAUGUAUGUAUUUACACACGUCCAUACUCCCUAUAUAAAUUCAUGGGUCUAUAUAGGGCUACUACGCUCGCGUCCAACGCUCACGUCACGCCUUAAUGCGGUGCUACACUACGCCAUUAAGGUGGACAGACGGGUGUAUAAAUAUGUGCCCAUACCCCCUAUAUGAAUUAAACACUCAUGUAGGGCUNNNNNNNNNNNNNNNNNNNNAUUUUUCGGUAACUCUCCAAGAGAAAUAAAAGCGUCAAAAUUAAAUGACGUCAAAACUCCAACAAUUUUAAAUGCUCAACCAAAACCAUAGCAUGCAUAUUAUUUAAAAUAAAAGUCCACUCACAGAAUGAGGCCUAAGCCUUCCAAUGCUCGGAAUACUCCUCGAGCGCCGCCUCCAACUAAUCACACUCUCUAGCCAAUCCCACGUCUGACGAUAAACAGAAGAAUAAAUUGGUCAGACCGGACUCCAAUAAUCAUUAACGAUUCGACUUCUUCCUAGUUUGACUAGGUUUACUGAGUUGACCAGGAUUGACCAAGUUUGACCAAUUGAUUUAUGAUUAGCCAACUAACGAAGCCUCAACAAUUUCCAUUUUAACCUUCGACUUAACAAAUCGGGUUACCUUGAUUACUCUACCAUCCAAUUUAAUUCCAACAACCAUCUUAAUAAUUCAAUUACAAUUGAUUCUUCAUCCAAACAAUCCUCAAUCACUCUCUCUCUAUACAACUUCACACCAUAAAUCACUAAGGGCACCCAAAAUGGGUUUCCAUAAAUAGAAAGUUUUCAAAAAAGGGAAAGUUUCCCCAAAAUAGGAACUUUCCUCACUUAGAAAGAUUUCCGAUUAUAAACCGACAAACUUUCCUAUUUAUGAAACAACGCAAAACAAAAAGGAAAACUUCAAUAACUACCUCAACUGCUCUUGUCGGACUAACUGCCUUCGUCGGAUUCCGACGACUUGUCGGAAUAUUCUGCCGGAUUCCGGCCACUUGCCGGAAAAUUGGCCAUAGUCUCCCUGCAUCUUCUAAUCUCCAAGUUAUCGACAAUCAUGCAGAAAAUAAACGAUUCAAACACCAACCAACCGAAACCACACAACAACAACAACACCAAAGAUCAAGACUUACCACUCACCUUGCUAUAAUCCUCGCCGAAACCAUGUUCACUGACAGCCCAAAACCGCAGUCAUGAUCGGAGGACACUCAAUCAAACACCCAAAACCACUAGCCUCCUUCCGAAACAGUAACAACUUCCUCCAAACUUCUUCCAAAGUGCGUCGGGGCUCCCACCAACCACAACUAGGUUCGCCUGAGCUCGACGGACACACUGAAAUUCAAGAACAAAAAGCCCUUGUUGGAGACCGAACUUCAAACCCAGAAAACCAGAGAAAGGGGGAAAAUCUGAUUAGGGCUCUAUAUUUGGAAAUCGAAGCUCAAGGAAGACCGAAAAACUAGAGGAAGUGAUGAGCAUACCUUCACGAAGCACAAGCUCACCGGAAAAGAAAAGAUUCGGCCGGAAUUUGGGUUUUGGGGAUUUAGGGUUCUUGUUUCGAUCGAACGGGAUAGAUGAUGCCUGGCAAGUUGAUGGGUAGCAGUAGAGAGAGGAGAGAGAGACAAGUCGAUUGGGGGUGGUAGCUCGACCAGCGACGGCCGGACGACGGCGCUCCGACGUGGAGAAGAGAGAGAGAGAAGAGAAAGUCGGGAGGGAGGAGAGAGAGAAGAGAGAAUAGGGUUUGGGUCUUUUUUUUUUUUUCCAAACCGGUUCCUACCCAAACCAAAUAUAAACCGAACUCCAAAAAAUAAAACACCCCGAAAAAUAAUACCCGAAUAAAAAUUACCUUUUACUAGCUAAAAUUUACCAUUUUUACCGUCGUCAUAUUUUCCUCCUACAAAUAAUCCUCCGAGCAUAACUGUCCCCGAAACCCCUCUAGGGACCAAUUAAACUAUAACUUCAAUGACGGAGACGGUAAAAUUCUUAUUAUAACCAAGCUAGUAAAUAAGGUAAAAAUUUACGGGUCAGGAUGUGACAACCUUGGCCCGCCUUGACCCUCCUUAGACCCGUCUUGGCCCGCCAUGACACGCCUUGAACCACCUUGGGCCGCCUUGACCUUCCUAGACCUGCCUAGGGCCGCCUUGACCCCCCUUGACCCACUUUGACCCGCCUUUACCCGUCUUGGCCCGCCUUGAACCACCUAGGGCCGCCUUGACCCUCCUAAACCCGCCUAGGGGUACCAAGAAGCGUACAUGACUCCCCAUGACUCGCCUAGGCCCGUCAAGGGGCUGCCUUUACAUGCCUUGACCCUCCUAGACCCGUCUAGGGCCGCCUUAACCCGCCUUGGCCCGCCUUGACCCUCCUCGGCCCUUCUAGGAUCACCUAUGGCUGCCAAGGGGGAGCCAUGAUCCACUUAGAGCUACCAAGGGGCUGCCUUUACACCUCUUGACCAGUCUAGGGCCGCCAAAGGGACCGCCUUAACACGCCUAGGGCUGCCAAGGGGACGUUUUGACCUGUCUAGGGCCGCCAAGGGGGCUGCCUUUACACGCCUAGGGUUGUUUUGACCUCCCUAGAGCUUGCCAUGACCAGCCUAUGGCCGCCAAGGGGCUGCCUUGGGCCGCCAUGGGGCCACCUUGACCCAUCUUGGCCGCCUUGACCCGCCUUAGUCUGCCUUGGCCGGCCUUGAUCCGCCUUGGUCCGCCUUGAUCCGCUUUGGGCCGCCAUAACCUGCCUUGACCAGUCUUUGACCCGCCAUGACCUGCCUUGACCCUUCUUUAACCGCAUUAUGGUGUGACGUGACCGUUAGACGCAAGCGUAGUAGCCCUAUAUGAGUGUUUAAUUCAUAUAGGGGGCAUGUGAACAUAUUUAUACACUCGUCUGUCCACCUUAAUAGCGUAAUGUAUCACCGCAUUAAGGCGUGACGUGAGCGUUAGACGCAAGCGUAGUAGCCCUGUAUGAAUUUAUAUUUUUCAUAAGGAUUCAUACAAGGAGUAUGGACGUGUGUAAAUACAUACAUAUGUUUAUAUAUAUUUUUGAGCUUGAGAGGCUCGAUAUUUUAUGAGUUGAAAGUUUUAUCGCUUGGGGCAUGCAUUCGCUUUUCUUUGAAAAUUUAAUUUGGGAAAGCAUAAAGAUAUUUAUUGCUCGUUUCUUUUAAAUUUACUUUUGUCCACUCACUCUAACGGUUUUGAAUGUUUUCCUCUGAACCAUUCAUUUUAAAAAUGCCUAGUUUGCAGGAUUUCAUAGUUGAGGUCGGGCGUACAUGGAGACAAGACAUAGUCAAUAGUAUAACUUCCGCUCAUAUAUAUAUAUAUUUUUAGUUCAUUUCUCCUUUAAUAGAGUUGCUCUGAAUCUGUGAUUGUUGGUUGUGAGUUUUUCUUAUUAAAGUUGCUAAAUAAAUUGGGAGAUGUUGUGAUUUGGGGAGCACGAAGGCUCCAGGAGUAGAGGGUUAUAGAUGGAUUCUUUUAAAGUGAACGCAUGUAUUAUUAGGAAGGGUUGUCCAUUUUCAAGGGAGCUUAUUUCAAAUUUUCGGUAAAUUUUCCUUGGAGGUGGUCCCCGCAGGAUUUACUUCGGGUUUCAAGGUGAAAUUCGGGGUGGGUCUUGACACCUAGGGCCACCAAGAAGUUGCCAUGAUUCGCCAUGACUCGCCUAGGCCCGUCAAAAGACUGCCUUUACACGCCUUGACCGUCCUAGGCCCGCCUAGGGCCACCAAUUGACCCGUCUAGGGCCGCCAAGGGCCACCUUAACCAGCCUUAGGCCGUCUUGACCCAUCUUGGCUUGCCUUGGCCCUCCUCGGCCCUUCUAGGACCACCUAUGGCUGCCAAGGGGGAGCCAUGAGCCACCUAGAGCCACCAAGCGGCUGCCUUUACACACCUAGGUCUGUUUUGACCUCCCUAGGGCCUUUCAUGACCCGCCUAGGGCCGCCAAGGGGCUGCCUACAGACGCCUUGGGGUUACCUUGACCCGUCUAGGGCCGCCCAGACUCACUUUGGCCUGUUUUGGGCCGCUUUGACCCUCCUUUACUCGCCUUGGACCGCCUUUACCCGCCUUGGACCGCCUUAACCCGCCUUGGACCGCCUUGACCCGCCUUAGACUGCCUUGACCCGCCAUGGGCCGUCUUGACCCGCCUUGAACCGCCUUAGGCCGCCUUGACCCUCCUAGACCCGCCUAGGGCCGCCUUGACCGCCUUGAGCGUUGAGCCGCCUUGACCAAUCUUGGGCCGCCUUUACACGCCUUGAACCGCCUUGACCCUCCUAGACCCGCCUAGGGCCGGCUUGACCCUCCUAGACCCGUCAAGAGGCCGCCUAGGGCCACCAUGGGGCCACCUUGACCCGCCUUGGCCCUGCCUUGACCCGCUUUGGCCUGCCUUGACCCUCCUAGACCCGCCUAGGGCCACCAAGAAGUCGUCAUGACUUGCCAUGACCCGUCAAGGGGCUGCCUUUACGACCAUCCUAGGCCCGCCUGUUAGGGUUGUACGUGGCUCAAAACUGAUUCCUUGUCUGUUUUGGAGUUUUUACUUCUGAAGGUCUGAAGGCUUUGGGUAAGUUAUUCUAGUGUGUCUAGGAUUCUUAGAGUUUAUCCUUAGAAGUAAUGGUUUAGGAUCCCUGUUAUGGUUCUAAAUCUUAUUGUAAGUCAGACUAGUUGAGAGUCUAUAAAUAGGACCUUAGAGACAUAGUUUUAGGUGUGGAUCAAUUGAGAGUUUAGAGAUUCAAGAGUUGCAAGCUUUGAAAGUUUGGGUGAUUUAAGAGUGUUCUCUGCUGAGAAUCUAGAGUGUGAGGAGAGAGGUUAUUUGAGGGUGAAGAACCGUAUUGUUCUUCAGUUGUAAUCUUCUUCUUGUUUAGUGGAUCCACCAUCACCAUCACCGGAAGACGUAGGUCAACUGUUUUGACCGAACAUCGUUAAUAUCUUGUGUUCGCUUGCAUUGAUUUUGGUUAUUGUCUUCAUUCAGUUAUGAUCUUGGGCUAAGGAAUUCAGAGGGUGACCCAUCUAGGGACGCCCUGACCCGCUUUGGCCCGUCUUGGGCCGCCUUGAACCGCCUAGGGCCACCAAGAACCGCCAUGACCCUCCUAGGCUCGUGUUGGGCCGCCAAGAGACCGCCUUAACCCGUCUUGACCCGCCUUGACCCGUCUUGACCAUCCUAAGCCCACCUAGGGUAGCCAAAGGGCUGCCUUUACACUCCUUGACCCGUCUAGGGCCGCCAAGAGGCCGGCCGCCUUGACACUCCUAGGGCCGCUAAGGGGACGUCUUGACCCGCCAAGGGCUGCCUUUACACGCUUAGGGCUGUUUUGACCUCCCUAGGGCCCGCCAUGACUCGCCUAGGGCCUCCGCCUUGGGGUCACCUUGACCUCCAAAGGGCACGCCUUUACCCGCCUUGACUAGCCUUGGGCUGCCUUUACACGCCUUGACCCUCGUAGGCCCGCCUAGGGCCACCUUGACCCGUGUACGGCCGUCAAGGGCCGCCUUAACCCUCCUUGACCUGCCUAGGGCUACCAAGGGGGACGCCUAGACACACCUAGGUUCACCAACGGGACGUCUUAACCUACCAAGGGGCUGCGUUUACACGCCUAGGUCUGUUUUGACCUCCUUAGGGCCCACCAUGACCCGCCUAGGGCCACCAAGGGGCUGCCUACGGCCGCCAUGGGGCUACCUUGACCCGUCUAGGGCCGCCUUUACCUACCUUGGCCCAUCUUGGGCCGCUUUAACCCGCCUUUAACCCGUAUUUACCCGCCCUGGACCGCCUUUACCCGCCUUGGGCCACCUUUACCCUUUUAGGGCCGCCUUGAUCCUCUUAGGGCCGCCUUGACCCUCCUAGGGCAGCCUUGACCCACCUUGACCCGUCUAGGGACGUGCCUUGACCUGCCUUGGCCCACCUUGACCCGCCUUAACCCUCCUAGACCCCACCUAGGGCCACCAAGAAGCCGCCAUGANNNNNNNNNNNNNNNNNNNNCCUUGACCCGCCUUAACCUGCCUUGACUUGCCUUAGGGCGCCUAGACCCGCGCUUGACCGCCUUGACCCACCUUGACUUGCCUUGACCCUCCUAGACCUGCCUAGGGCCACCAAGAAGCCGCCACGACUCGCCAUGACCCGUCAAGGGGUUGCAUUUACACGCCUUGACCCUCCUAGGCCCGCCUAAGGCCACCUUGACCAGUGUACGGCCGACAAGGGCCGCCUUAACCCGCCUUAGGCCGGCUGGACCCGUCUUAACCCUCUUUGACCCGCUUAGGGCCGCCAAAGGGGACGCCUUGACACGCCUAGGGUCGCCAAAGGGAUGUCUUGACCUGCCAAGGGGCUGCCUUUACACGCCUAGGUCUGUUUUAACCUCCUUAGGGCCCGCCAUGACACGCCUAGGGCCACCAAGGGGCUGCCUACGGCCGCCAUGGGGCUACCUUGACCCGUUUAGGGCCGCCUUGACCCCCUUUUGCCCGUCUUGGGCCGCUUUGACCCAUCUUGGCCCGCCUUGGACCUGCCUUGACCCGCCUUGGACUUGCCUUGACCCGCCUUGGGCCACCUUGACCCUCUUAAGGCCGCCAAGGGGUUGGGUUCACUCGCCUAAGGCCGCUAAGGGGACGUCUUGACCCGCCAAGGGGCUGCCUUUACACACCUAGGGCUAUUUUAACCUACCUAGGGCCUGCCAUGACCCGCCUAGGGCCACCUUGACCUUGUUAGGCCAGCCUAGGGCAGCCGAGAGGGCGCCAAGACCCACCUUGGGUCGUCAAGAGGCCACCUUGACCCGUCUAAGGACCAGCCUUGACCUGCCUGGGCCCACCUUGUCCCGCCUUGGGCCACCUUGACCCUUCUUAGACCACCGAAAAGCCUCCUUAAAUCGCUAAGGGGGCCGCCUUAACACACCAAGGGCCGCCAAGGGGACGUCUUGACCUGCCAAGGGGUUGUCUAUACACGCCAAGGUCUGUUUUGACCUCUCUAGGGCAGCCUUGACCCACCUAGGGCCACCAAAAAGCCGCCAUCAGUCGCCAUGACCCUCCUAGGCUCGUUUAGGGCAGCCAAGGAGCCGCCUUCACCCUCCUAGGCCCACCUAGGGCAGCCAAAGGGCGCCUUGACUUGCCUUGGACCGCCUUGGAACGCCUUGGGUCGCCUUAGCCCGCUUUUGACCGCCUUGACCCACCUUGACUUGCCUUAGGCCGCCUAGACCCGCGUUUGACCGCCAUGACUUGCCUUGACCCUCCUAGGGCCACCACCAAGGGGCUGCCUUUACACGCCAAGGUUUGUUUUGACCUCUCUAGGGCCCGCCUUGAUCCGCUUUAACCCUCAUAGACCCACCUAGGGCCACAAGAAAGCCGCCAUGACUCGCCAAGGGGUCGCCAUGACCCUCCUAGGCCCGUCUAGGGCAUCCAAGGUGCCAUCUUGACCCGCCUUGACCCCUCUCGACUCUUCUAGGCCCACCUAGGGCAGCCAAGGGGCGGCCAAGGGGUGCCUUGACCCGCCUUGGACUGCUUUAACCAGCCUUGGAACGUCUUGGGCCGUCUUUGACCGCCUUGGGCCGCCUUGACCUGUAUUGGGCCGCCAUGACCAGCCUUGACCCACCUCUGAUUGCCUUGACCCGCGUUGACUUGCCUUGGGCCGCCAUGACCCGCCUUGAACCGCCUUGGGCCACCUUAACCUUUCCUUGACCCGCCUUGGGCUGCCUUCACCCGCCUUUACCCGCCAUAGGCAGCCUUGACCCGCCAAGGGGCCGCCUAGGGCCGCCUUGACCCGCCUUAACCUGCCUAUGGCCACCAAGGGGCGCCUUGACCCGGCUAGGGCCGCCUUCACCAGGUUAGGGCCGCCUUGACCCUUUUAGGGCCGUCUUGACCCGCCUUUACCCGCCUUGACAUGCCUUCACCAGGUUAGGGCCGCCUUUACCCGUCUAGAGCCGCCUUUACCCAUAUUCGCCCGCCUUGACCCUCCUAAGGCAGCCAAGAGUCCACCUUGACCCCGCUAGGGCCGCCAAGGGGCUGCGUUCACCCAUCCAAGGCCACCAAGGGGCUGCCUUGACCUUGCUAGGACCGCUAAGCUAAGGGGCCGCGUUCACUCAUCUAAGGCCGCCAAGGGGCUGCCAUGACCCUCCUAGACCCGCGUAGGGCCGCCUUGACCCUCCUAGGCCCUCCUUGGCUCACCUAGGCCCACCAAGGGGCCGCCAUGACUCACCAAGGGGUCGCCAUGACCCUCUUAGGCCUGUGUAGGGCCGUCAAGCGGCCGCCUUGACCCCGUUAGGGCCGCCAAAGGGUUACGUUCACUCGUCUAAGGCGGCCCCGCCAAAGGGCUGCCUUAAUGUAACAUCCUGGAAUUUCAGUUUUCUAUUUUUAAAAGGAAAAUUAUUUAAGAACUAUUUUUAUUUCGAUUUCUUUAUCCAUUCAAAUUCUUUGUAGCUUUCGAAAAUUAUUCAAAUUUUUUAGUUUGUCGAAAAUUUUCUUUCGAGCCCAUAAGAUUAAACUAGACGUCGUUACGAGUUCGUAGGAUUUUUUCGGAGCAUCGUUUGGACUUCGAAGCUAUUUUUAAUGAUUUUUGGAAGUUGGUAUUAUCCAAAAUUUUAAUUAAAAAUAGAAUAUUUGUUGGCAUGAUCUGGGUCGUCAGAUCUUUUUAACCGUCUAAUCUAGGCCGUUGGAUUGGAGUAUAUAUAAUUUGGAUUAGCUUGGACUGCAACAUAACACAGCUCAGACCGACUUCGGUCUCGAGCUGCUCUGCAGCAACGGAGCUCGGAGGCAUCGUUCGUCAUCCGGCCAUCUCUCGGCGCAAGACCGGCGUCCUUAGGUCCGUCUCGUCGUCCCCAACCUCCUUGUGAUUCUAGCUUGAAGAGUGGAGCUCCGGUGAGAGAGAAAAGGAGGAGAGAAGGCAAUUGUGUUUCGGAUCGGGUUUUCGAUUCCGGCAGCGAGCGUGAAUGGUAGUGGAAGCUUCCUCUCGUCCUUGUGGUCUUCCCUAUGUCCUCAGUUUCUUCAGAAGAGGUCGGGAGAGAGAGAUUCGAAGUGGAGAAGGAAAGACUGGGUUCACCGGCGAGUUAUCGAUUCUGGCCAAGUCGUGAUCUCUCACCAGUGUGAAUAGCUUUGUCUCCUUAUCCUCGACGUCCAUGUAACUUCAGCUUGUCGAGACGAGGUCAGGUGAGGGAGAAUCGAAGAGAAGAAGUUUUGGGAUUUUCCGGCAAGGGUUCGAUGUUUUCCGGCCAUCGGCGAAGGCAAGCGAGGUAUCAAUCUUCAUCUACUCGUCAAGCUUUACAUGUUUCUAUAAUUGGAAUUGAGUUUGGUUGAGGUUUGGAGGAAGUUGGGUUUUAGGCAGUGGAGGACUGCCGUAUGUGCCGCUGUGCACGGCGGCGAUGGCGGUGGUUUUGGAAGUUGGUUUCCGGCUUUAUUAGUGUAUUGAAUUGGUUUGAGUGAUUGCAAAUGCUUGAAUUUGAGAAUUGGAGGAGUUGAUGAUCGGAACUCGGAAGGUAUUGUUUUAGUUGGAAGGUGUAGAACAAUAGCCACUGUUAUUGUUGUUAUUAUUGCUGUUAUUGCUGUUAAUGUCCAAACGCCAUUCUUAGUGUGUUUGAUAAAGAGAUGAUGGAACAUAAAUUGUGGAAGUUAGAAGAAAGAUGUUGAAUUGUAUUGUUGAAGUGAUCGGUCAUGAACUAGUAGGUUGGCUUGUUGGUUAUGGAAGUUGUCGUAUAUAUAGACAUAUUCAUUGUGAAUUGUGAAGUGCAGGAGGUUUAGUAUGUUAGUUUCUUAAGUAAAAAGAAAUUAAUGUAUUAGACUUGAAGAAGAAUGUGUGAUCAGGACACUUGAGAGGAAAUGCAGAUUAAGGCUUUGGGUGUCCAUAGCAAUUUGAAGGAUGGAAUGGAAGAAUUGAACACUUGUUUUUGGGUGUCUAUAAUUUCAUAAUUAGACUAUGAAGGUCAAUGGAAUCGAAGGAUGAUGGUUUUGGGUGUACAAAGUAAUUUCAGAAAUUUGGAUAGAAAUGGGUGCAAUUGGAAUAUGACGACGCACUUGGGUGUCCUUAGUAAAUUUCCGAAUUAGAUCAAGCUGAUGUGAAGUGACCUGUCAACAUUCUCGGAAUGAAGAUUGAGUAUGAGGAUUGAAUGCGAGGAGCUGGAUUGCAGAAGUAGAAGAAUAAGGAUUUUAGAAGUGUGUCGCCGAGUUACUAAUUUUAGCUAGCGUCAAAAGUAGCUCUCGGAUUCUAGGUAGGGUCUCUCUCUCUCAGGGAACCUCUUUUUAAAUUGAUAAUUAGGUUAUUAUUGAAAUCGGUGCAUUGUGUGGCAUUGGUUGAUAUAA